GCUAGAGUUAUCUGAAAAGAGGGA
rnacentral:piRNA from 1 species